rfam:Triticum aestivum genome assembly, contig: Triticum_aestivum_CS42_TGACv1_scaffold_526552_6DL
CAAAUACUCCCUCCGUCUAGAAAUACUUGUCAUGAAAAUGGAUAAAAAGGGGUGUAUAGAACUAAAAUACAUCUAGAUACAUCCCUUUUUAUUCAUCUUGACGACAAGUAUUUCUGGACGGAGGGAGUAUAAG